GUGCACGCUGGCGGUAGGCCUAACACAUGCAAGUCGAACGGCAGCACAGUAAGAGCUUGCUCUUACGGGUGGCGAGUGGCGGACGGGUGAGGAAUACAUCGGAAUCUACUUUUUCGUGGGGGAUAACGUAGGGAAACUUACGCUAAUGCCGCAUACGACCUACGGGUGAAAGCAGGGGAUCUUCGGACCUUGCGCGAUUGAAUGAGCCGAUGUCGGAUUAGCUAGUUGGCGGGGUAAAGGCCCACCAAGGCGACGAUCCGUAGCUGGUCUGAGAGGAUGAUCAGCCACACUGGAACUGAGACACGGUCCAGACUCCUACGGGAGGCAGCAGUGGGGAAUAUUGGACAAUGGGCGCAAGCCUGAUCCAGCCAUACCGCGUGGGUGAAGAAGGCCUUCGGGUUGUAAAGCCCUUUUGUUGGGAAAGAAAAGCAGCAGGUUAAUACCCCGCUGUUCUGACGGUACCCAAAGAAUAAGCACCGGCUAACUUCGUG
rnacentral:rRNA from 1 species